UACGGGGGGGGCAAGCGUUGUUCGGAAUUACUGGGCGUAAAGGGCUCGUAGGCGGCCAACUAAGUCGGAUGUGAAAUCCCCAGGCUUAACCUGGGUACUGCAUCCGAUACUGGAUGGCUUGAAUCCGGGAGAGGGAUGCGGAAUUCCAGGUGUAGCGGUGAAAUGCGUAGAUAUCUGGAGGAACACCGGUGGCGAAGGCGGCAUCCUGGACCGGCAUUGACGCUGAGGAGCGAAAGCCAGGGGAGCAAACGGG
rnacentral:rRNA from 1 species